rnacentral:rRNA from 1 species
UUGGAGGGCAAGUCUGGUGCCAGCAGCCGCGGUAAUUCCAGCUCCAAUAGCGUAUAUUAAAGUUGUUGCAGUUAAAAAGCUCGUAGUUGAACUUCGGGGUUCACCCAUUGGUCAGGCUUAAUUGUCUGUACUGGUGAGAUGAGUCUCUACCUUCUGAGGAACUUUCAUGCCAUUUAUUUGGUGUGGUUGGAAAUCAGGACUGUUACUUUGAAAAAAUUAGAGUGUUUAAAGCAGGCUAACGUCUGAAUACAUUAGCAUGGAAUAAUGAAAUAGGACGGAUUGAUUCUACUUCGUUGGUUUCUAGGGUCACCGUAAUGAUUAAUAGGGAUAGUUGGGGGCAUUAGUAUUCAAUUGUCAGAGGUGAAAUUCUUGGAUUUAUUGAAGACUAACUACUGCGAAAGCAUUUGCCAAGGAUGUUUUCAUUAAUCAAGAACGAAAGUUAGGGGAUCGAAGACGAUCAGAUACCGUCGUAGUCUUAACCAUAAACUAUGCCGACUAGGGAUCGGACGCAGUUAAUUUUAUAAUGACGUGUUCGGCACCUUACGGGAAACCAAAG